rnacentral:rRNA from 1 species
GCAUAACGCGAAGAACCUUACCUGGGUUUGACAUGUACCUGCACGUCCCGUGAAAACGGGAUUCCUUCGAGGGUGGUACACAGGUGCUGCAUGGCUGUCGUCAGUUCGUGCCGUGAGGUGUUUGGUUAAGUCCAGCAACGAACGCAACCCCUGUGCCCAAUUGCCAGCGCGUAAUGGCGGGAACUAUGGGCAGACUGCCUGUUUACACAGGAGGAAGGUGGGGACGACGUACAAGUCCUCAUCGGCCCUUAUGGGUAGGGCUUCACACGUCAUACAAUGGCGCAUACAGGAGGGUUGACCAACCCGCGAGGGGGAGCCAAUCUCAGAAAGUGCGUCGUAGUCCGGAUUGUUCUCUGCAACUCGAGAGCAUGAAGUCGGAAUCGCUAGUAAUCGCGGAUCAGCAUGUCGCGGUGAAUACGUUCCCGGGUCUUGUACACACCG